ACAAAGUAAAGGAGACCAAGUUGAACAAUAUGGUUUGACUUGUUAGUUUCAGCCCACAGGGACUAUAGCAGAGGCCUCUUUCAUUAACUAGUGAUUAAUGCAAUGCCAAUGCACCAAUCAAAAAUCAUUAUUUUCAAAUAUUUUUGCAUUUGCUAAUGUUCAAACCGUUAAACUUGCAUAUUAGUUAAGCAAAAUAUUCUUGACAAAUUUUGUGGCGUUUAACUACUGGUGUUGUCGAGGGUUUGCAGGGGUUCACGCAGUUCUUAGCAGGAGAGAAUGCAUGACUCCAGAGGAAGGUGCAAGGGAUGCCAAAAUAGAACUUUGACAGAUAGUGCGUUGCAGGGAUAUGGGGUUUUCAAGGAUCAAAUGAAAUCCGUUAAUAAUCCACAUGCUUCGACAGUACUUUGACAUCUUUCAUAUUUGCUUGAUAGGGUUUUGACAUCUUGCAUACAACUCCCCCCAUCCUCCCUCGACGAUCAAGAAGGUGGCAGAUAUUGGGUUGCCCACCAGACAUCUAUGUUUGCAAAUUUUAACCCUAACCGCCUCGGAAGCAAAUUUAUGUGCAAAAGUACAAGAUGGCAAAAAUCACCUAGAGGAUUUGCAACGCAACAAAAGAAUACGACAUAAAUCAUCUUCAAUUUUUUUGCAGAGCAUAAUCAAGGUAAACCCAAAGUUCCCAGACUCGGACUUGGCUCUGACUCGGCUCGGCUGACUCGGCUCGUGACUCGGCUCUGACUCAGCAAUGACUCACGUAUGAUUGCCUUACUGUUCAAACACUAUCUGCAUCUGCAUCUGACUCUAAGAUAUUCAAGUUUAGGGAUUAUUUUGGUUGCUUCUGAAAUCCCAUCUGACUUUUUCAUCGCUUCUAAAGAAGAUGCCUCCUGAGACUUUUGUUCCAUUUUUGUCGCUUCUCCCAUUGAAGAUGCCCACCAUGUUGAUUUCAUGUCUGAACCAUAGCUCAUUAUGGGCGAUGGCAUAGGCAGUCAUGCCAUAUGAUGCCCCCAAAUGCACCAGUAACAUUACAGAGCAUAUUUCAUAUAUCUCAUUCUGGUGUAAGGCCACUCUGUGCAUGCAAAAAGUUAGGGUAGGUUUUGUGAUGUCCCGUUAUUGUUACACUUCCAAUUCUGCUCAAAUAUUAUACACCAUAUACAACUCAUAUCUACGUUUCAGAGAAAAACUAUGCAUCAAAAUUACGUAAGAUGAAUUUUCCCAAGUGCAUUGCAUAUAAAUAGGAUUACCAAAUUCUGAAUGCUAGAGAAGUAUGUUGUGGUUGGGACAUCAGAACUAAUAACCAGAAAGUACAUUGCCAUCAUUAUUCACAAGUACUAAACAUUGAAUUACAACAAUCCAAUGGCAAGAUCUCCAUCUUUCAUGGAAAACACGUUUCUUGUAUGUAUUCCACACAAAUCAAGAAUUGUAGAGCCUAAUCUCAUAUAUUGUUAUAUCACAAUCACUAUUUAUUGAUUGUGUUAUAUAUAGUAAUCAAUAUCUUUGCACUUA